UUUGGCGCAGUGCAAACAGAAAUAAAAUCCGACACGAAAAGGAAAGGCAAAUAAAAAAUAAAUAUCUUGUGCUAAAAAGCAAACACAGAUACGGUUACGGUUGAGGUGCGCUGUCGAGCCCAUGUAAACGUAUCUGUGAGUCCGCAUCUGUAUCUGUAUCUGCGUCCGUAAAUGUAGCUGUAUCCGAGAGAUACGCAUAAGGCCGGCCGGCUGGCUAUUAAGGGGCGUUUCAUUUUAUGUUUCAUUUGCGCCGACGUCGCUGAUGACGACAAAAUGAUAAUGACUCCAACAAAAGCAACGAUGACGGAGACGUUGCUGGCUACCUGUAUGAAUGAGCGCUCGAUUUGUGGGCCAUUCGAGCGGGGGAAUCGCCGGGGGUUCCCACAUAUUUAUAGUGUGGACUGGCUGCAAUGAAUGGCCGGUCUGGUCCCCCUCCUCAUCCCCUCUCUUCUGGGCCAAGUUAGGCGCAUGACUAACACCACUGGCUCGCUACAACAACAAGCAGCCAGCUCGGCAACAACUAUAAAAACAACCAAAACUACGACAUCGUCAGCGCAGCUUGUCGUGUCAUCGUCGACGUUGUUGUCGUGCAACUCAUAUGUAGUGGUCUCAUGUGUCUUCAAGUUAAUCGAUUCUUAAAAAAUAGAGUGUGCAGCUCAGGUCGUUUACACUCGAUCACAAAGCAUUUCUUCAACCAUUGCUAAUGCAAUUUGCGACAUCAUAUGACGCCUCUAAUUAUACGAAUUUGGCGCCUUAUCUGAAAGCAAACACGACAAAUGGGCGGCAAUGUGACGCGAUUGUACCAUGAACAACAUGCCAUAUAGACGGGCCACAAAUGCUCUCGGCCAGCCAGACCAUUUUCACCUCAACUUCACGACCAAAUCGAGAGACAAUUACCCGAAAGACGUUUGUGGCAUGGCCAACAACAAAAUUUGAAACGUCAGUUUCCUUACAUUACGAGUUGCCAACAUACAAAUAGCCAAAUCUUAAGCGGCGCACAAUGAAAACUACAUAAAACGAAAUAAAAUUGUAGCCAACGAGCAAUUAAGACGGCUUGUCUCAGAGCCAAAUAUGCGGUUUACUUAGCAAGUUUUUGGACAAGGGCGGAUCAGUAUAAAACUGCAAUUCGCGCCUAUUGGCGGAAGAUAACGCUGACGCAGGCAUCCAAGCAGACUGUUUCUACAUUCUACAUUUUAAAAUCAACAAGAAAGGAAGCAAACCUCAGCAAGCCGAAGUUCAUAUACCCUUGCAGCAACAUUAAAACUAUGAUUUACAUGCGUAUAUUUUUAAAAUAAUUGAAGCUAUGA